rnacentral:rRNA from 1 species
GUGCCAGCAGCCGCGGUAAUACGUAGGUGGCAAGCGUUGUCCGGAAUUAUUGGGCGUAAAGCGCGCGCAGGCGGUCCUUUAAGUCUGAUGUGAAAUCUUGCGGCUCAACCGCAAGCGGUCAUUGGAAACUGGGGGACUUGAGUGCAGAAGAGGAAAGCGGAAUUCCACGUGUAGCGGUGAAAUGCGUAGAGAUGUGGAGGAACACCAGUGGCGAAGGCGGCUUUCUGGUCUGUAACUGACGCUGAGGCGCGAAAGCGUGGGGAGCAAACAGGAUUAGAAACCCUUGUAGUCC